AAAACUGGAAAACUAAUUACAUGAAAAGAGAAAACGUAAAUAAGAAAAAAUUAAGGGGAAAAAGAAAUAAUAGCAACAGAGGCCGCGCCUAUGGCUUAUUGGCUGUCCUGUUUAUAUUGGGCCAUUACAAUGUAAACAUAAAAAUCUCUCUUUCUGUCUAUCUCUCUCUUUCUCUUCCUUUCUCUCGCUUUCUUCGCCGGAAAGUUGCGUCAUCAAUCGGUCAUGCAAGCCGUCUGAUUGCUGCUAACGGAACGCGGCGAGGUAUUAUUCUUUGCUCGAUUUACUGUUUAGUCGCGUUUCGGUUUUUGUGGAGGGGUUGCGUUUUUGGUAGUCGCUGGGUCAGAUCUGGCUGUUUUUGCUCUUGUAUUUUGAUCUGAGAGAGAUUUAGGGUUUUUAAAUUUGUUUCUUUGAAAUCAAUUGCUCAAAUUGGGAUGGUUUUAAAUCGAAUUUUAAAACUAUAGGGGUUUUGGUUGUUUUUGGCUGUGUUUAUGGAAGAGGGAAGAAGAUCUGGUGACCUGUCAGGGAUUAUGGUGAAGAAUAGGAGCUCUUCGGGCUGUUUGAUUGUGAGAAAAAAGGGUAAUGAUGGUGUGGGAGGAGUGGGUUCUUCUGGUUCACGUAAGGUGUUUGGGUCCAAGAAGGACAAGAAGAGGGCUAGGAUGGAUAUGAGCGAUUCAGGGUCUAGUGAUGAGCUGUUAAUGCCAUCUCGAAGAAGGGUAGGCGCUGAAACUUUACGGGUUUGUAAUGGUUUGAGUCUUUAUGAUGAGGGUAUUGUAGAAGAGAAUGAUAUUAGCAGGAAGAGGAGUAGGGGAGAAAAUGUUAGGAGUAAUGAUGUUGACGUGAUCGGUAGGAAUGGGGAUUUCAGUGAAAGGAAGAGGAAUAGGUUAGAUGUGUUUGAAUUUGACGAAUAUGAUGUGAAUGACGGAGAAAUGAUGAGGAGGAAUCGCGUUGAUGAAGGUGGGAUGGAAGGAAGGAGGUUUUUUGGGUCAGUGAUGGCGGGGAGAAGUGGCAUUGAAAGGGAAUACGAGACAGGAUCCAGUAGACAUCCUGGUGUUGAUAGAAGAAAGAGUUCAUAUUUUGAGAGAACAAGUGGGCUACAUCGGGCGAAUCAUGGUGACAGAGAUGGGGCUCAUCCACCUAUGUCAUUUUAUAGCGAUAAAUAUGAUUCAGAUGAACCCAUUAGGGUUCAGGGGAAAAAUGGUGUUUUAAAGGUAAUGGUGAACAAGAAGAAGGUGAAUGGGUCUUUGAAAAGUUAUGACCUCUUGGAAGCAGAGGAGAAAAGAAAGGGUGUGAGGAUGAAAGAUACUGUCAAGAGGAAUGUUCUAAUCGGUCCCUCUAUUUACCCUGAGUCUAAAAGUGCUGAGAAAGCGAGUUCAUUUGUUGGGACACUGAAAAAGCCAAUGAACACGCUGAGAUCAUUGUCAGCUAAGAACUCAUCCGCCAGGAAUGGUAAUGUAAGAGAUCACAAUUCUGAAGAUAGUGGUACAUCUUUAAAAUUGGGAUCGAAGAAUAUGGAGGCUCGUAAUUCUUUGAAAACGCCAUUGCCAGCUAAGAAUCCUAAGGGCCAUGAGGUAGAUUCAGAGGACAGUGAUACAUCAUUGAAUCCGGGGCUAAAGAAUGUGAAAGCUCGUAAAUCUAUGAUAGGGGCAAGCAGUGAUGGUGAAAUAAGUCCAUGCAAUCAGCUUCCAUCUGCUAGAAUUAAAGAAGGGAAGGUUAAGCGUGGUACUGGAACAGAAAAGCAAAAGUUGCGUGAACAUAUAAGGGGGAUGCUUCUGAAUGCAGGCUGGACAAUAGACUAUAGACCAAGAAGGAACAGAGACUACCUAGAUGCGGUUUACAUAAACCCAACGGGAACAGCUUAUUGGUCCAUCAUCAAGGCAUAUGAUGCACUUCUAAAGCAAUUAAAUGACGAGGAAGAGGAAGCAAAAUCUAAGGCUGAUGGUUCUCCAUUUACGCCACUAUCAGAUGAGGUGCUCAGCCAACUUACAAGGAAGACUCGGAAGAAGAUGGAGAAAGAAAUGAAAAGGAAGCAAAGGGACAGCAGUGAAAGUGAGAAUGCACGAGAAACUGCAGCAAGAAAGUCUUCAAGUUCCAGGCAUGAUGAGGAAAGCAUGGACAGUGGAAGCCAUGAAGAGAAACUGAGCUCCUUCAUUAAACAGGGUGGUAAGUCAUUGAAGAGUAGAACAAACGGUAACAGUUAUCUCAAUGUAAACACAAAAGGUCAAAGUUCUACUCGUCAACUGCAUAAUGGCAUGGAGAAAAUACCCUCUGGAUCCAAUUCUCAUCAAGGAAGAAAAAGUAGAAAACUUGGCAGAUGUACUUUGUUGGUACGGAAUUCUAAUGAAGGGCUAAACUCAGAGAGUGAUGGCUUUGUUCCAUAUGCUGGCAAACGGACACUGCUUUCCUGGCUGAUUGAUUGUGGAACUGUUCAGUUGAGCCAAAAGGUGCGGUACAUGAAUCGCCGCCGAACAAAAGUAAUACUGGAGGGCUGGGUAACGAGAGAUGGUAUUCAUUGUGGUUGUUGUAGCAAAAUCCUCACAGUUUCAAAGUUUGAGAUCCAUGCAGGGAGCAAACUACGCCAAACAUUUCAAAAUAUAUAUCUUGAUUCUGGGGUUUCCCUUAUGGAGUGCCAGAUUGAUGCAUGGAAUAGACAGGAGUUGGUUAAGCACAUUGGUUUUCAUUCUGUAGAUGUUGAUGGUGAUGAUCCAAAUGAUGAUACGUGUGGCCUUUGUGGAGAUGGUGGGGAUUUGAUAUGUUGUGAUGGUUGUCCAUCAACAUUUCAUCAGAGCUGCCUUGGUAUACUGAUGUUGCCCCCAGGUGACUGGCAUUGUCCAAAUUGUACAUGCAAAUUUUGUGGGGUAGCCGGUGAAAAUAUUUCUCAGGGAGAUGAUGCAACUGGUUGUGAACUUCCUACUUGCAGCAUGUGUGCAAAGAAAUAUCACAAAUCAUGCAUACUGGAGAUGGAUGCUCUUUCUAUCGAUGCCAAUAGUUCAUUUUGUUGUUUUUGUGGGAAGACAUGUAGAGAGCUUUUUGAGCAAUUGCAGAAGUAUCUUGAGGUCAAACAUGAACUUGAAGCAGGAUUUUCAUGGUCUCUCAUACAUAGAACAGAUGUAGACUUGGAUACAUCUCUCCAGGGACUUCCUCAAAGAGUAGAAUGCAAUUCAAAGUUGGCUGUUGCUUUGUCUGUUAUGGAUGAAUGCUUUUUGCCUAUUGUUGACAGGAGGAGUGGGAUCAACUUAAUCAAGAAUGUUCUUUAUAACUGUGGAUCAAACUUUAACCGGCUGAAUUAUAGUGGUUUUUAUGCUGCUAUUCUGGAGAGGGGUGAUGAAAUAAUUUCUGCUGCAUCCAUCAGGUUUCAUGGAACUCAGUUGGCAGAAAUGCCAUUCAUUGGAACACGCCAUGCAUACAGGCGUCAAGGGAUGUGCCGUCGGCUUUUUUGUGCCAUUGAAUCAGCACUCUGCUCCCUGAAGGUUCAGAAACUGAUUAUCCCUGCAAUUUCUGAACUUACUCAUACAUGGACAGGGGUUUUUGGUUUCACCACUCUUGAUGAAUCACUCAAGCAACAAUUGAAGUCUAUGAAUAUGUUGGUGUUCCCUGGUAUAGACAUGUUGCAGAAGCAGCUAUUGGAUCAAGAAAAUAUUGAUGGAAACACGACUACAGGCUCAGGUGCGAAAGGGAUGGAAUUUAAAGAUGGUCAAAGUAUCACACCUGAAGUGGCAGUUAAAUCUGACAUUGAUUCUUCAGCCAUGCUUGAUGAUCUUAAUGAGUGUGAUAAUGGUGGUUUGGAAUGUGCCAGUGGGACAAAUGAUGAAGUGGCUGCCACAAAUUCUGGUUCACAAUGUAUGGGCAUUCCAAUAAAUGAUGUUUCAAUGAUUAGUAGUUCUUUAGAUGCAUCUCUUGAACCUAAAAAUUCUGUACCGCUUAAGGAGACUGCAAAUGCGGAUUCUGGUGCAGGAGAUAAGUUAGAUGAAGCUGCUUUGGAGAAGAAAAGUGAAUGCAUGUCUGACACAAGUCAUUAUGAUCUGGACAAGAUGGACAAUAUAGAGGGUUCAAAUUCUCCUGCUGGAGAUAAUACUCAGUCUUGUAUUGAGGGUGAUGUGUCUCCUACAAAUUCUGAUUCCCGAUGUCUGGGUUUUGCCUUAGAUGAUACUUCUGUGAUGAGCAGUUCUUUAGUUGCUUCUAAUGAACUUAAAAGUUUAGUUUCAUUUGAGAGGAAUACAUGUGCUGAUUCAGAAUCAGGGGACAAAUUGGCUGAGUUGACUUCUGACAGGAAAUGUCUCAUCAUCUCUGAUAUGAGUGAUGAUAGACAGGAGGAAAAUAAACCAGAAGUGGCUGCUCUUGUCAAAGAUAAUGUUCAGUGUUGUGAAGAGGGCGAUGUUGGUGAUGCCUAUGUGUUAAAUCUAAUUGAAUCUUCUUCUGAUGAACAUAAAAUCUCAAUCUCCACAGGAGAGACUAAAUCUGUUGUUUGUCAAUUGAAGAACGAGUUUUCUGAACUGGCUUCCAAUGGGAAACACCAUUUUGACUCCGGUGCAAAUCAUGGUGCAGUAGAGAUGGAAACUAAGCCUGUAGCGGAUUCUCCCAUUGACGAUAGAUCCCUGUCUAGCACAGAGGAUGUACACACAGUAAAUAAAAAUGCUGAUGUGGCUUGUAUUGAAGCUGUCCCUCCCAUGACAGAGAGAACUGUUGAUAACUCCAGUGAGAAGGUUGACAAAGGUCCAGUCUUGUCUGUUUCCACGUCCAGUGGCACUGAUGGGUAUUCCGUGCAAGUUAAAUUUGAGCCAAAGGAUGAAGUAGCCUUUGAGGGGGGAAGCAAAUUAGAUGUGGCUUCAGAAGCUGUUUCUGAAGCAAAACAUUGUGAAGUAAGUGCUCCACAUACUCGUGCAGAUGAUUUCAGGACUGAUGUGAGUGAAGGGAAAACUGAAUCAUGCUCUGUUUGAUACAUUGAGAGCAUUCCUCUUCAAUGUUCUCUUUAACACUUGUAUGGUUAUUAAUGUGGAAUGCAGCGACUGUAACAUGAGAGUUAGGCCAUUUGUGCUGUUGUCUGACGCUCUGACUUUGAUGUUAGAAAGAAAUUAUAGGUUUCUGAUGAAAAGUAGUUAGUCCUGCCGAGUGAGAUUUUAAAAUUUCUGGUUUAACUCUCGAGCAAAAUUAACUCAGCACUGGGAACUUCAAAUUGGGCUCUUGGUAGAAGUAAUUGGUGCCGUAUGAGGUAAUUGGUGCCGUAUGAGCUUUGAGGUCAGAGGAGAAGUUGCUGCUGUGGAAACACAUGUUCUGGAGGUUGAUGGGCAGAUGCUUUGAAUAUUGCUGGUUAAUUUUCUCAUGCCUUACAGCAUGUUCAUAUCUGAAUCUGCCAAGUUCCACAUUCAUAGUCUCUCUGGAAGUCUUGUAUUAAUUCAUUUUUAUGUAGCAACACCCUUUAUAUACUACAUCUAUGUUAACUUGUCAGAAUGACAUAGGUGGUUGCAGACAGAUUUUGAAUAACAUUGUUCUUGUAAUUAUAACCUUUGUUCCAUAUGCCAGCAUUUGUUCAUAUGAUUUAUGUCAGCUGCAAGUUCUAUGCUUAUCUCAAUUGAGCUGGAGUGCAUACUUCUUACUGAAGCAACAUGUUCGUAUUCCAUGCUUCUAGCGGGCAUUCUGCAUAUAAUGCUGCAUGAGAAUUAACGUUUUAUUACUACUGGAGUAUGUAAUUUGGACAUGAUUCGAAUGUUUCUGCUGUACAGAGUGUCUUCCAUGCGCUUGGCGAGGAAAUUGGAUUUUCUCAAUAUUAGUUGAACUGUUCCUUAGAUACUAGAAAAUUGAGUUAUCGAGUUAGAAUCGGAGUACUUUCUUGCAUUCUUCUUAUAUGUACUAGAAGAAUGGUGUCGACGGUCGGCGCUACUCUUGCGUAUUUUAAUUGCAUUGGUUAAAGUGGAAGGCCAGAGUGCCAGUGAUUUUGUUUCUAUUUCUCUUAACAAUGGAAAGGGUUAUUUCAUUUUAUUAAUGAAUGCUGGCAGCUGGCAGCCGGCAGCCAUGCUUCUCUGUACGCAGGGAAGAGCAGGUGCGUUUGCUUGGUAGGCUCGAGUUUAUAAAUUUGAGCCCCCAAAGUCCUGUUACACAAGUCAAUUUUAUCGAGACUGCAAGAUGCAAGGGGAAGGAGAAGCCCCUGGAGAAGUACGCAGGCGUACUUCCUUGUUAAACGAAGAUGGGAAUUUCAAAGGCUUGGCCUGGACCUUGAUGAACCUAGUGCCAGGAUUCAGCAUUGGAGAUUUCUACGACUCGGGUGGGACUUUUCUGUUUAACAAGUGUAAUUUUUCUUUAUGAAAACGUACAAUCUCCAUCUCUGUGAGCCUGUGGAUUUGUUUUUGUUUUAUUUCUAUUAUCCUGUAAAAUUCAUAGCUAUGCGUACAAUAAUUGUUCAAAUGACUCUAUUAUCCUGUAUUAUUUUAGAUGAUACAAAAAAAAAUUAUUUGCAUUUUAAAAUUUUUAUAAGUUAAUUUUAAAUUAAAUAAAUUUUAAUACUUUUAUUUAAAACAUUUCAAAAAAUAUUUUUCUCAGACCCUUCAGUGUUCAGUCGGUAAACUACGUCGUUGGUAGCACAGUUCGCCAGAUUCGGUCAAGCGCUGCUUUUUAUUCCUUCCUCAGCAUUUUGACUAAAAACGAAAAGGAAAUGGAGCUCAGGGUCCCUGUUCACAGCCUGAGCAACUCCUCAUUACCUUCGCUAACCAAACCAAAGGUGAGAAUUUCUCAGAGAAAACUAGUGCCUGUACGGAUUACCUACCCAAUCUUAUCUUCAACUCCUAUUCGAAUGGAAUCCCAAUCGCCUCUCCGCGCCACCCCAACCGAAGACCAUCGCUCCACAGUAACCUCGUCUUCGCCCAUCGAAUCCGGAGCAAGACAAGGUCGAAUCGGAGAAGUGAAGAGAGUCACCAGGGAAACUAAUGUCUCGGUGAAGAUAAACUUGGACGGUACAGGAAUUGCUGAUUCUAGUACUGGAAUUCCAUUUCUCGAUCACAUGUUAGAUCAACUUGCUUCGCAUGGGCUGUUUGAUGUUCAUGUGAGGGCAACUGGGGACAUUCACAUCGAUGAUCAUCACACUAACGAAGAUGUUGCUCUUGCUAUAGGAACGGCAUUGCUGCAGGCUCUUGGUGACAGGAAAGGAAUUAAUCGGUUUGGUGACUUCUCAGCCCCUCUUGAUGAGGCAUUGAUACAUGUUUCAUUGGAUUUGUCUGGGCGGCCACAUUUGAGUUAUGAUUUGGAAAUUCCCACUCAGAGAGUUGGUACAUAUGACACUCAGUUGGUGGAGCACUUUUUCCAGUCUUUAGUGAAUACUUCCGGUAUGACACUUCACAUUCGGCAGCUUGCUGGAAGAAAUUCUCAUCAUAUUAUUGAAGCAACCUUCAAAGCAUUUGCUAGAGCUCUUCGGCAAGCAACUGAAUAUGAUCCACGUCGCCUUGGGACUGUGCCAAGUUCAAAAGGGGUGCUGUCACGAGCCUGAUGCUGCUUGAUUAUCAUGCAAUGGAUGGUUUAGGAUGGCCUUCAGGUGUUGCUAGCAGUGAAUAUAUUUUAUUCAUGCAUUCACCAGUGAGAUGCAUUUUGGUGAUCUCUUAUAGUGCACUUGAGACAAUCAGUUGAGCUACAUUACAAUGGAUAGUUUGUCGUUGUAUAUCAUAGUUCUGCUGAAGACUGUCUAAUUUGGGCAACACUUGGAAGCUAUAAAGGAUGCAGUGCUUCUAUGACUAGUUUGUGUCUUGUGAACAUGAAGAAAUCAAAUAAUACGGUAUUCAAACACGUAUAGAAAGGCUUAUCCGACCAUCCGUCAACAAUAAUUGCUCUUCAAUUAUGAGAAACUAACUAGUUGGAACCUGUCGAUUAUUGAAACUUUCUUGAUAGGUGGCCGCUGGCCAAUGCAGAAACAUGGUGAACCAGCUGUGUUACUAUUUUCUGAUACCCAUUGACAUAAAAGUGCUUGGAUUGCAUGAAUUUUACAGGAAUAUAGAAUCAUAGUCAUAAAUUUCCUAUUUUCUAAGGCUCACGGCAUAUCUGGACUCACGAUCUGAGCUUUCUUUCUUUCUUUUUUCUUUUUUGUUUUCCCUGCUUUUUAAUAUGAAAUAAAGAUUGAUUGCACAUAGACAAUGCAGCCUAUCUGCAAUCCUGAAAUCUGCACUGAGUUGCUCAUCUGCUACAAAAAUUCUUCAGCCGUACUCAAAUCAUUUAAUAUCUCAGACCUGACCUUUUCAGGAAGUGGUGCAGAUGGGCCAGCCUUCGAGUAGAAACUGGCCAGACAUCUGAUUGCCUUUUCUAGUUCCACAUAUGAUUCCUCAUGCGCCACCUUUUCUUGUCCUCUCCAACUGCUCAGAUAUUCUCUAAUCGACUCUUUUGCUGCAUCUGCAGUCCGUCUAAAUUUGGCAAUAUCCUUGGGGUCUUCAUUUAAUGACUCACGCAGUGUCUUUACAACCUCUCGUGCUGACUUGAGGUAAGCCCUGGGCAAUAGUUUCCCAGAUUUGGUUUUCUCACUACGAUCAAACAGUGAUUUAAUGGCUCCAACAACUCCAUCUUUCUCCUCUUGGUCAUUUGAUUCCUCUUCCGCUCUUACUGGCAAUGGCAUUGAGAUGCAAUUUAGAUUCUGAAUGGCAAGAAAUGAAGCACUGCAGACUAGAAUAUGCCGACGACUUGAAGAAGCAGCUUGAGAUGACACAACAGAAUUACACUUCAAUUGCAGUUUACAGACAGAGUCAUUGUUGGGGUUUGAGGUUUUUCUCGAUGUUUGGCAAGUGAAGGGGGAUAUCUUUGCAGUAAGAAGCACAGCCAUUUCUUAUUCCUGGUAAUUCAAUAGCUAAAUCCACUGCAUCCCUUAAUCCAACAACAAUCUCCAGAAUUCUGCUACCUUACCAACUUGGCAAUCACCAGCAUCAGCACAGUUCCUUUUACAAGCAGACUUUGGUUCUCAAUCCCUGCCUCAACUCAACCCCCUCCCCUGCCCUUCCCCUUUCGGU
rnacentral:misc_RNA from 1 species